rnacentral:rRNA from 1 species
AUUGAACGCUGGCGGCAGGCCUAACACAUGCAAGCCGAGCGCGAAAGUCUUCGGAUGAGUAAAGCGGCGGACGGGUGAGUAAUGCAUGGGAAUCUGCCUGGUAGUGGGGGACAACGUUUCGAAAGAGACGCUAAUACCGCAUACGCCCUACGGGGGAAAGGGGGGGAUCUUCGGACCUCUCGCUAUCAGAUGAGCCCAUGUCAGAUUAGCUAGUUGGUAGGGUAAAGGCCUACCAAGGCGACGAUCUGUAACUGGUCUGAGAGGAUGAUCAGUCACACUGGAACUGAGACACGGUCCAGACUCCUACGGGAGGCAGCAGUGGGGAAUAUUGGACAAUGGGGGAAACCCUGAUCCAGCCAUGCCGCGUGUGUGAAGAAGGCCCUAGGGUUGUAAAGCACUUUCAGUGGGGAGAAAGGUUAUUCUCCUAAUACGUGAGUAAAUUGAUGCUACCCACAGAAGAAGCACCGGCUAACUCCGUGCCAGCAGCCGCAGUAA